CAGAGCUUUUCCGCUGUCUCUCCUACUACUGAGCUCUCGCCUGAACUCGCGGAACAGUGACCUUCUCCGAGUGGUCCAGCACACUUAUAUACUAGAGAUGGCAGGUGGUGCAUUCGCUGGCUGGUGGACUAAGGUGGCCCCCUACUACACCAAAGCAUACCAGGAGAUGUGGGUUGGUGUAGGAAUCAUGACUUUCAUGUACUACAAACUUUCAUAUGGAGGAAAGAAGAAAGCAGUGCAGUCAAGUAAGUAUAAGCAGGUUUAAAUUUUUUUUUUUAAAUGUCUACAGGGUGUCUGCGGGUCCUUAAAAAAAUCUUAAAUUAGGCCUUUAGGCCCUGUUUACACUAGUGCGUUUUCGUUUUUGAAUGAAAACGAUCCUUGUCUACACUGACUGUUUCAGAAACGAUCUCCGUUUACACUACACAACCUAAAACAUGUCACGUGACCAUUCAUGCAGGUACAGCCAUAGAUAUGAAUAGGUAGAUUCCCUAUUAUUUAAAUCGCGGAUGGGUCUACGUGCUUCGAGGGUCGAAAACACCGGAGUAUUAUAAAUGAUAGGUGUAAUCGUAGCUAAAGUUCUAGUGUAAGCCUUAAAUUCAGAUUCGAUUGGUCUUAAAUAUUUUUGGUCACAUUACCGCUAAAAUUUUACGUUUACAAUCAUUGGACAGACCAAAUAUUUUUUUUUCCCUCGCAGUAGCAAAAUACAAGUCGAACUACCUUCUUAAUAUUCUCAAUAAUAAUAAUAAUAAUUAUAAUAAUAAUAAUUAAUUAAUAAAUAAAUGAAAACAAAGGAAUCAUCGAAACGCGAGAAUGAAUCGUCUAAUUUUAUUAGCCUACAUUCAGUGUAAAUGGCCCUUAAUAACGGAAGGUGUGUUUCUGGUAUCAAGGUCACGCUGUCGAGGCUCGCUCUGUUUGUGUUAUUAUGAGAGACUUCAGAAUGAGCUUAACAGCACACAGAAAGUAACUCAGAAGAAACACACUGAGGUGAAAAUUCAAAAUGUUUAGUUUAUUCAUAACAUGAUAUAGUUAAGUAACAUACCGUGACAAGUGAGCUUUUUUGCUAAAUAUUCUUUCGACGCAAAAAAGAUUCAAAACAUCUACAGAGUGCACGCAUUACGUGAAGUCUAGUGCGCGUGCGCAUUUACAGUGCAUGAUUCAGUCUAUUAAAAUACAUUCAGAAUGAUCACAAAUUCAAGACAAUUAGGGCAGAAAAUGUAUAUAUUUAUACCACUUCGUAUAGUUAAUCAAUUUCACAUGAAGAGUCCGUUUUUUUCUCUCCAAAAAUUACCAUUAUUACAAAUGUGAUGGGGUUUUUUUAACAGUUGAAUAAACUAGAAUGUAAUUAAGAGACUUACGGUUUAGACACCAUAUUGCCUAUUUUUGCACUAUUUCGACAACAAAAAUAAUUCCAAACAAAGCCACAGCGCUGUUUUGCGUCUCUGAGCAACAUGCCGGUGUUUCGUUCCUGAAUGAAUCAACUGUUUAAAUGAUUCAGUUCAAUAGCAAUGACUCGCUCAUUAACAGUGACUUGCUGCCACCCACUGGCGCUUUUAAUUUCACAUUUAAAGUACCUUUUUAUUAUUUAAAUAAAAUCAAAUACCAGUAUUCAACGUUUUAUGUUUAAUGUGUAAAAACAUUAUUUAUGCAUUUGUAAAAAUAGGCCUUUAUAAAGGUAAAUAAAAAUAUGCAGAUUUAAGUAUGUAAAAGCUGAUAGAACACUGAUGAAAAUAUUGCUUCAGAAUAAAUUGUUUCCACCACCAAAAAUCUUGAUGCGGUGCUUUUGUGGGGAUAUUUUGCAUGGAAUAUUGUCUUCUGAUAUGAAAAGUUCACUGUAUAUCUUAGUUAUAAAUAUAAUUUAUUACAGUGAUAUUUUGUUUUCUUUUUAUGUUAAACACAUUAAAUAUUACAUAUAUGUAUUUAAUAUAAUGUGUAUAUCCAUUACAGGUUUAGGUCUUAAAUUUCAUAUAAGGUGGUAUUAAAAAGGUCUUAAAAAGUCUUAAAUUUAACAUCUUCAUGUCUGUAGAAACCCUGGUCUGGGAGAGAGGCUUUCAGACUUUGCUCCACAUGGGAGUUUUAGGUGUUAGGUAGAAAAACAUUUAGAGAAAACAGGUUAAAAAAUGUACAAAAUAAAACACAAAAAUAAGAUUCAUAAAUU
ensembl:lncRNA